GGACCCGAAGUAGGUCCGAAAGCGUUAUAUGAAUAAACAAAAAGAUUUAUUCAUACUUGCUUUAAGUGCAGUUAUAUAGUUAUAUAUUACACUUAUUGCUCUUUUACAGUGAUGUCAUACACAUUGAUAUUUUUGUUACAUUGUUGGUACAUCAUAAAACAACAUUACUACAUCACAAGAUAUCAUCACUAUGUCACAAUAACAUCACUCAUUUCACUCAUUCUGUCAGUUUGUGAAGUCUUCCACUAUUACUCUGUAUGUCAGAACUGUUGUGACGUCAUUUUAAUAUAGCAAUGACAUCACAACACAUGACAACACAACAUUAAUUUUUAUGAUGUCAUUACUACAACAUCCAUUGCUACUUCAUGUGUCAGAACUGUUAUACCAUUCAUUGUUAUGUUAUAAUAACAUCAUGUUUGUGAAACUAUGACAUUAUCCUACUUCAUACUUUACAAAGUCAACAAUAUCAGAACAACAGAUAACUCAAAUAUGCCUAUUUUUUGGGGUGAUUUUGAUUUUUGUACGCUUGAUACCUAUAGGAUUAUGAGAAGUUACUCUGCAAAAUUUGGUUCAGAUAGAUCAAACAGUGUGGAGGCCUAUACAGAAUAGACUGAUAAAAAAAUAUGAUCCCAAUGUGCCCAUCGCCUGGGGUGAUUUUGAUUUUUGUAUAUCCUAUAUUACUGCAAGGUUAUGGGAAGUUUCCUUACAAAGUUUGGUCCCAGUGGGUCAAAUGGUGUGGGAUCCUAUACAGGCUAGACAAUAGACAGUCAUUGCAUUUUAUAUAUAUAGAUGUACAGUCUCUAAUAUUUUUAUACCCUUAUGCAAAUUUUCCAUUUUGAUAAUUAUUUUCCAAUACAAUAGCAAAAUAUUAUCAUAAUAAAAUCCAUAAUUAAUAUUUUUCACAGAUAGUAUUAAAAUUUUUCCAAUAUUUUAAAAUUUAAACUUCUAG
rnacentral:lncRNA from 1 species